rnacentral:rRNA from 1 species
CCAAUAGCGUAUAUUAAAGUUGUUGCAGUUAAAAAGCUCGUAGUUGAAUUUCGGGACCAAUAUGUCGGUCGUGCUUCGGUACGUACUUGCAUUAUUGGUUUCUCCCUUCUGAAGAACCUUGAUGUCAUUAAUUUGGUGUCUUGGGGAAUCAGGACUGUUACUUUGAAAAAAUUAGAGUGUUUAAAGCAGGCUCACGCUUGAAUACAUUAGCAUGGAAUAAUGAAAUAGGACGUUUGAUUCUAUUUUGUUGGUUUCUAGGAUCGACGUAAUGAUUAAUAGGGAUAGUUGGGGGCAUUAGUAUUCAAUUGUCAGAGGUGAAAUUCUUGGAUUUAUUGAAGACUAACUACUGCGAAAGCAUUUGCCAAGGAUGUUUUCAUUAAUCAAGAACGAAAGUUAGGGGAUCGAAGACGAUCAGAUACCGUCGUAGUCUUAACCAUAAGCUAUGCCGACUAGGGAUCGGAUGAUGUUAUUUUUGAUGACUCAUUCGGCGCCUUACG